rnacentral:rRNA from 1 species
UUUCUUCAUUUAAUUUUUAUUUUAAUUCAACAUCGAGGUCACAAUCAUUUUUUUUAAUAUGAUCUUAAAAAAAAUAUUAUGCUGUUAUCCCUAAGGUAAUUAAUUCUAUUAUAA